rnacentral:rRNA from 1 species
UACGGGGGGGCGAAGCGUUGUUCGGUAAUUACUGGGCGUAAAGGGCUCGUAGGUUGCCAACUAAGUCAGACGUGAAAUCCCUCGGCUUAACCGGGGAACUGCGUCUGAUACUGGAUGGCUUGAGUUCGGGAGAGGGAGUGCGGAAUUCCAGGUGUAGCGGUGAAAUGCGUAGAUAUCUGGAGGAACACCGGUGGCGAAGGCGGCAUCCUGGACCGGCAUGACGCUGAGGCGCGAAAGCUGAGGGGAGCAAACGGGG